GCGAGGCUGGAUCUUGCGAGGGAGGAUUUCACGGGGCCUGGUACUCGCGAGGCUGGAUCUCCCGGGGCCUGGAUCUCUUGGAGCCCGGAGCUUCCGGGGCCAGAUCGCCAGCUGAGCUGAAGCCGAGUGUUGGCCUGCACCCCCCAGGCGCCGGGUCUCUAUUUCUCGGGCUGUGCUUCCUGCAGCAGUGAGGGCCUUGUCCUAUCACAGUGCUCAGAAGGGAGCUUCAGCCGUGUCUGUCUUGGGCCACUGCACAGAUGAUUCCUGCAUUUGAGCGAGGUAUUGAUCUAGUUCUGCUGCAAGGCUCUUUGCUUUAUCAAUGAAUUUUAAACAGAAAACAUCUUGAAGAUGCAGAAGUUAGUGAAUUACCAGGAGCAGAGGCAUUUUCAGAAACAUUCAGGGAAAGGCAGGUUUCAGAGUCUGGAAUGGCGGGACCCAUGCCUACAUCACUAUAUUAUCUAAGUAGCACUUAGUAGAAUACAAAGAAAGAGAAGACAGCUAUAAAUUCUUUUUUUUAUAUUCUCAAGAUGAAGAAGAUUUAAAAUGAAGAUUUAUCUCACACAGCUGUUUUUGUCGCAAGGAAUAGUUUUUUGACUCAUGCUGCCCAAAUUAUUUCAUUAUUGUUAUUGUUAAUUUUAUCUAUUUAAAACAGAAAAUGUUCAAUUGUUAAAAAAAAAAAAAAGAAAAGAAAAUGUUCAGUUGUUGUUGGCUUUCAUCAAUUCAUUAUUUUACGACCCAUUGAGAAGACUGUUUUGCUGCAGAGUUUAAAGGGAGCUGAACAGGCAUUAUGAAAUCAGAAGGAAUUUGAGUAUUUGAAAGCUGGCUGUAUUCUAUUGCCUGGGGGUCUAGAUGAACAUGUCAAAGGAAGGCCUGUAAGACUUCAUCAAGGAAUGGCAUAUGCACGUGUGGAGGUCAUCCAUUAGGCUGCAACAUUAUUGUCAAUCGGUCCUUCAUGAACUGUUGGGUUCCUAUGUAUCAUCUCCAGGAAAGGAAAGAGAAACUUUUCUAGAAUGUUUCACUUGUCAAUGAGGGUGAAUGAUUUUCAGUUGUUUUAUCCCAUGUGUGGUCAUUAUUGAAACAUUUCUAGGCAAGCUCUGGCUGGAUCUCUCCUCACAGUUUGAAGCUGUGAUACUUGUAUCCAUAUUCUGCAACAGCUUGUAAAAUCGUUUUCUGACCAAAUUAGAGUUUUCUAUUGGGAUUGUGUUAUUUCAGGUAAUAAAUAUGGAAUACGUAAAGUAUCACCUGCUAAUUGGCACAGAGAGGGUUUUGAAAAGAUGGAUUUUUCCUUUAAAAAAUACUGAUAAAUAUGUUAACUUUAGUCUUUAUAUUUUUUCUAGUAGUGAUAAGGACUAUGUUGUGUAAUAAGUAGUGUAAAAUAUAUUUUUUGAAGUUCUGAUUUGCUUUCCAGGUGACUUUAUUGUUAACAAUGUGAACAAUCCAUCUUAAAUCCUAUAAACUACAUUAAAAAUACUGAAAUUGCAUGCCAUCAAAGGUAAGGACAUAAAGGAGAAGACUAAUAGUUUGACCACAUCAAAAAAAAAAAAAAAAAAAAAA